rnacentral:lncRNA from 1 species
CUCAGAACUAACAGGCACAGAAGGCUCAAAUUGCUGAAUGAGACACUUGGUCUGACACUGAGAUAAAAGAGCACAGCAAGACCUUGAGCUCCGGAAGAGACUGAAGCCACACGAUUGUAAAAGUGGCAAGAUGAAAGAGCCCAUUGCUAACAUUUGCUUCCCUGACCCUGAACACCCCCUUCCUAUGGACUAGAAUAAAUAACUAGGUGAAUCUUAAAGGUAAACUCCCCAACUGCAAAAAACUGUUACAUCUGGGUUGAAAAGUUAACUAUCCUGUGACCAUGAUUUGAACUAUGAGAAUGAAGUGUAACCUCGCAUAUGAAGUCAAGGCUGUAAAACCCUAUAAAAGGAGGAGUUGUAACCCAGUGCAUCAUUGAUCCAGGCACGGCUUAUGUGCGAUAGACCACCAUCGGUGGAGUGAAUUUGUUAUUUCACUUCCGUUCUGCUGCCCCUCUGUGUGUCACUUACUGAUUCCUUCCGUACCAUUCUGGCCAUUAGAGGAAUGCAAAUUGAAACAACACUGAGAUUCCAUUUUACUCCAAAAAAGAAAAAGAGCUAUUAUCAAGAAAUCGAACAAUAAAUGCAGAGUUGGAAUGGCAGGUGAAGGAGUGUUCUCACUGUUGCUAAGGGAGCAGAUGUCGGACUAGCUUUCUACCCAUGAGUUUGAAAACGCAGUCUUUACAAACAAGAAGAAUGCUGGGCAGUUGGCCAUUGGUGAUCCAGACCUGAGGCAAGCAAGCAGAAGGGCUUUGGAGAUGACUCUCAACUCUAAUGCUGCCCAGCCAGUCCCAGAUACCCACCAGAUUUCAGGCCUGACAUGCGAAGUUCUUUGCAGAAGCCACACUUACAAACAGAGGACAGGGGCUCCCCCAUCUUCCCAGGGAUCAAUUCCAGGGCCUUGUGCAUGCUAA